CAGCCGCCAGUGCCGGGCGUGCUGUAGUUCUACAAGUCAGUAUCUUGUAAAAGGGGACGCAACGCCAAGGUCAAAUGUCCGGCAACUAAUAAGCCCCGUCCUUCGGGCAGCACCGCACGUUAGAGCGUCCUGUAUAUGCCAGCCUCCCAUAGUUCUUUGGAUCCUUCUUUCACUUCGACUCAGUGAUGCUUUUUCUUUACAAUGUGUAAGGAGGGCUUACUGAAUCUACGGCAGCGUGUCAAUAUAGCCAAGAGAACGGCAUCUGAUUCCUAAUCUGUGCUGUAGCAGAGCUUUUUCUUUACAAUGUGUAAGGAGGGCUUACUGAAUCUACGGCAGCGUGUCAAUAUAGCCAAGAGAACGGCAUCUGAUUCCUAAUCUGUGCUGUAGCAGAGCUUUUUCUUUACAAUGUGUAAGGAGGGCUUACUGAAUCUACGGCAGCGUGUCAAUAUAGCCAAGAGAACGGCAUCUGAUUCCUAAUCUGUGCUGUAGCAGAGGAAAAUUGUAAACAGAGAGCAAGUCACACAUCUUCAAGACAUAUAUCAGAUAAAGUCAGGCUACAGACAAAAAGUAUUUCACACUAAGGGGAUUACUGAAAGCAAUGUACUCAAAUUAGAAAAGACCACAUAGAAGCCCUGGGUGUGGGCCAAGUACAUGAAUCAUCUCAAGCUGUCAAGAGAUCAUUAUUUCUUUAACAACACAGAAACCAAACACUGCAAUCGCAACGUGCUGUAUGAUCCUUUGGUAUAACAGAUGUCGUAUCCAAAACUGCAUAUCAUUAGCAAGACAGAUAAUUCUUAUAUUUCAGGAAUGCUUAAUGAAUUAUGAUUCUUUCAUUCAUUGUAUUGCUAGAGACUGCAGGCUAUUGCUUAGUAAUCACGCUAAUUAAAGGGAAAAUAAACCCCAUUGGAAUCAACAAAGAUGAUGGGAUGAAAUGUUUACAGAAUGUGUGAAUAUGGCCUUAUGCAAAAAGGUAUUAUGCUAAAACGUAUUUAAAGAGGAAUUACUGGUUGUCAUGUAAGCCAUUUAAAUUUGGAAACAUAAGCUGUACAAACUGCAUUGGCAAGGGACCAACAAACACACAUGUUGGGGUGGUUCUUGACAAACACAAUACAGAUGUGGACAAAUUUGUCCUAAAAAGUGAUGCAAUUAAAAGCUAUUGUCUAAUGUGUACCUGGAUGCUUUUGCUAUUUUAUAGAAUAGAGCAAAGAAACUGAAAACAGGCAAAUUGCUGCUUAUUCUCCAAAGACAUUCUAAAAUGGCCUGGAGAGAUUGUUGGUAGACCUUAGAAAAGAUAAUAUACAAUUUGAUUAAAGUGAUUUUUCAAAGUAAUAGUUUUUCUCAAUUAGAUUCACACAUAUCUUCAAACUUGUACUCAGUCAUUCAGCCUAUUUAAUUGGAGAAAAGUAGUUACUCUGCUGUUUGGUAUCAUUGUGUGCACCCCACUGAACAUAAGGGGUAAUUCAGAGUUGAUCGCAGCAGCAAAUUUGAUAGCAGUUGGGCAAACCAUGGUGGUCAUUCCGAGUUUUUCGCUCGCUAGCUGCUUUUAGCAGCAUUGCACACGCUAAGCCGCCACCCAGCGUUCGCCCAGACACUCCCCCGUUUCUUUAGACACUCCCGCGUUUUUCCCACAAACGCCAGCGUUUUUUCACACACGCCCAGAAAACGGGCAGUUUCCGCCCAGAAACACCCACUUCCUGUCAAUCACACUACGAUCACCAGAACGAUGAAAAAUCCUCGUUAUGCCGUGAGUAAAAUACCUAACUUUUGUGUAAAAUAACUAACCGCAUGCGCUCUGCGAACCUUGCGCAUGCGCAGUAAGCGACUAAUCCAGUGCCGGAGCUUCCACUAGGCAGCUUUAGGCAGCUGCCUAGGAGCGCCGGAUCCUGAGGGGGCCGUCUGCUACAGCUGCCUGAAAAAGGUAGCAUGGGCCUACCUCACAGUCGCCGCAAUCCCCUCAGCACUCGUAUCUUACAGUAGUCGCAACUGGCAAGCUCCCGUAUUGCAGCCUCCAGCUCCGCCUUUCUUUGACAGCUGCUGGAGUCCUGGCUGGGGGUGACAUGUGGCGCUGCUCUUCAUUGCAGGCUCUUUCGCAGACUACUCAGUCCCAACUCUGCAUCGCAUCCUGCAGGUAAG